rnacentral:rRNA from 1 species
GCAUAAUCAUUAGUCUUUUAAUUGGAGGCUGGUAUGAAUGGUUGGAUGAGAUACAAGCUGUGUCAUAUAAAAUUAAAAUUUGAAUUUAACUUUUUAGUCAAAAGGCUAAAAUAUUAUUAAAAGACGAGAAGACCCUAUAGAGCUUUAUAUAAAAGGUAUUUAAUUUAUUUAGAUUUUUUAUAUUUAAUUACUGCUUUAUAUUUUGUUGGGGUGACAAUAAAAUUUAUAAAACUUUUAUUUUUUAUUUACAUUAAUUUAUGACUAAAUGAUCCAGUUUUAUUGAUUAUAAAAUUAAGUUACCUUAGGGAUAACAGCGUAAUUUUUUUUGAGAGUUCUUAUCGA